UGGGGCUGAGGGGUGUCCUUAUGGACGGGAGGUCUUGGAUCUGAAUCCGUCUCUGGUUAUCGGUGGAUCGCAGGCUUCAUGCUGAUGGGUAACUCCAGGCUUUAUCCUGCUCCAGCCGAGACCAGACUUAAACCUGGCAUCUGUAAGUGUAAAGCUAAGCUGUGUAAUCCUCACCCAGCCGUGGCCUGAGCUUCAGCUUUGACAGCUCGGGCUAGGUGUAAAAGCCAUUUUAAUUCCACUUUUAGGGCUUGGAGUAUUGCCGGAGCAGGGACAAAGGGAGCGGUGCCAGGAUGCUGGUGCUGGCAAAGGGAGCAUCCGCUUUGGGUUCAGCCGCUUGGUGCAAUGGGUUUCUAUGGGGAGGUGGAGCUGGUUCUGGGACAGGCAGAAAAAGCAGCUCUAAGAGGGGAAAAAUGAAAGAAAAGCUGAUUAAUAAGUGCUGGCAAUGGGAAAAAGUGGGUGUUUGGUGGCUGGCUCAGCCCCGAGCCUGCGUGCGGCUCCAGGAGGCUUUUGGCUUCUCCUGUGGCCUUGCAUUGCUUAGGUGGGUGCAGCUAAACCAGGUUUCAUUUGACCUUCAGCAGGUUCCUGCCUGGUGGAAGCUCAAAACUCACCCCUGUUCGGGGGGAUAAAGGGAAGCAGAGCCCUGGGAAAGAAGGAAGGGUUAUCCCUGAGCAGCCUGCUUUGUUUCGCCCGUUCCUCCCCUCUGCCUUUGGUAAAUACCUGCAAGUUUAGACUGAAGCCAGUGCCCUGCAGCUCCGGGGAUGCCUCUGCCACCAGGGAGCAGAGUGGGAUCCCCCUCCGUGAUGCUCUGCUCGUUUUGCAGCUGGUGAAUCCCGUGUCUCCGGCCCCGCUGACAGUUGACAUGGAAUUUCCUGGUGAGCAUGAACCCAGCAGUGGGGAAGAAACCACCUCCAAAAGGCACCAGAGCCCGGCCAGUGGGACCUGUGCAGAAGCCCCUCACCGUGGCUGCUCCCACUUGCAUCCUCUUCCUCCUCCUCCUCCUCCUCCUCCUGGAGCACAAUGAUGUAGACCACGACUUGCAGCAGCAUCCCUCCAGGCUGCUCAGGGCUCCUGGGGCUUCGCCAUAGGGACGCCAACACCAGAUGGGAUGGAGAAGAUCCUGGGACAUCACCAUCCUGCUGCUGUGCAUUGGUCCUGCGCUACUGGUGAAGAACACGCUGCUGGGAGGGGAAAAGAAGCAAAGCAAGGAAAGGCAGUCUCGGAGCGCAGGAAAUGUGUGUUAAUGGCUUGUGGAUGUCUCUGUCUCCCACAUGAUGGAAUUGCCGGUGCCGGGCUGUUUUUGACAGCCUGUCUUUUCCAUGUUUUUAAAAUAUUCAUGCCCCGAAAUCUAAUUACCAGCAAAUUUCAUGCUAAUGAAGGGAAGGCUUCGGCUUCCCUCUGCCUCCCUCUUGUUCGUGGUGCUCUAAGAGAGCUCUUUCUUUCUUCCCCACUGCUUUUCUUGCAUGGCAAACCCAACCCCAAGCGAAGGAUCGCCGACAAUAAAGCUUGGCUUGCUCAA